rnacentral:tRNA from 1 species
UUCUAAUAUGGCAGAUUAGUGCAAUGGAUUUAAGCCCCAUAUAUAAAGUUUAAGCUUUUUUUAGAA